UAUUAUCCACUCUUUAUUUCCCUUGGCACUACUUAAUGUGACACCAGUAUAUUUCCAGAAUGACAUUCCUGUCCAAUUAUUUUUAGAGAU